GAAGUGGUGGUUCAAUGGUAGAAUUCCCACUUUCCAUGAGGGAGACCUGUGUUCAAUUCCCUGCCAAUGUA
rfam:Loxodonta africana unplaced genomic scaffold scaffold_0, whole genome shotgun sequence.